CUGCCUAAGGGAGCNAGUCGAGCGAAUCAAAGGGAGCUUGCUCCCUGAGAUUAGCUGCCGACGGGUGAGUAACAAAUGGGUAACCUGCCUGUAAGACUGGGAUAACUUCGGGAAACCGGAGCUAACACCGGAUACUUUCUUUUCUCGCAUGAGGGAAGAUGGAAAGAUGGUUCUGCUAUCACUUACAGAUGGACCCGCGGCGCAUUAGCUAGUUGGUGAGGUAACGGCUCACCAAGGCAACGAUGCGUAGCCGACCUGAGAGGGUGAUCGGCCACACUGGGACUGAGACACGGCCCAGACUC
rnacentral:sRNA from 1 species